rnacentral:rRNA from 1 species
GACGAACGCUGGCGGUGUGCUUCACACAUGCAAGUCGAACGGAGUAGCAAUACUCAGUGGCGGACGGGUGAGUAACACGUGGGAAUCUACCAUUAGGUGGGGAAUAACAGGCCGAAAGGACUGCUAAUGCCGCAUAUGUAGGCAUCUCGACAGAGAUGUUUAUGAAAGGAGUAAUCCGCCUUUUGAUGAGCCCGCGUCCGAUUAGCUAGUUGGUAGGGUAAAAGCCUACCAAGGCGACGAUCGGUAGGUGGUCUGAGAGGAUGAUCACCCACAAUGGGACUGAGACACGGCCCAUACUCCUACGGGAGGCAGCAGUGGGGAAUUUUACGCAAUGGGGGAAACCCUGACGUAGCGACACCGCGUGAGCGAAGAAGCCCUUUGGGGUGUAAAGCUCUGUCAACAGGAACGAAACAAAUGACGGUACCUGUGGAGGAAGCAUCGGCUAACUACGUGCCAGCAGCCGCGGUAAUACGUAGGGUCCGAGCGUUGUCCGGAAUUAUUGGGCGUAAAGAGUUCGUAGGCGGUUUGUUAAGUCUGAUGUUAAAGACCGGGGCUCAACCUCGGAAAUGCAUUGGAUACUGGCAGACUGGAGUGCAGUAGAGGCUAGUGGAAUUCCCAGU